UUAAAACACCGAUUCGAUCACGGAAGUUAAGCAACAUCGAGCCUGGUCAGUACCUAGAUGGGUGACCGCUUGGGAAUACCGGGUAAUGUAAG